rnacentral:rRNA from 1 species
GUAGGGAAUAUUGGACAAUGGGCGAAAGCCUGAUCCAGCCAUGCCGCGUGAUAGAUGAAGGCCCUCUGGGUUGUAAAUAUCUUUUAUCUGGGAAGAAACUCCUCUAUUCUUAGAGGCCUGACGGUACCAGAGGAAUAAGCACCGGCUAACUCCGUGCCAGCAGCCGCGGUAAUACGGAGGGUGCAAGCGUUAUCCGGAUUCACUGGGUUUAAAGGGUGCGUAGGCGGGUUGAUAAGUCAGUGGUGAAAGCUCCGGGCUUAACUUGGAAACUGCCAUUGAUACUGUCAGUCUUGAAUGUCGUAGAGGUAAGCGGAAUGUUGCAUGUAGCGGUGAAAUGCUUAGAUAUGUUACAGAACACCAAUUGCGAAGGCAGCUUACUAUGCGAUAAUUGACGCUGAGGCACGAAAGCGUGGGGAGCAAACAGGAUUAGAAACCCCAGUAGUCC